rnacentral:ncRNA from 1 species
UUGAGCCGGAUGCGGGGUGACUCGCCCGUCCGGUUCUUAGGGGAGAACGUGCCGGUAACGGCACGUUCUUACCCGAC